UACGUAGGGGGGCUAGCGUUGUCCGGAUUUAUUUGGGCGUAAAGAGCGUGUAGGCGGCCAUGUAGGUCCGGUGUGAAAACUCGAGGCUUAACCUCGAGAUGUCAUCGGAAACCAUUUGGCUAGAGUCCGGAAGAGGAGAGUGGAAUUCCUGGUGUAGCGGUGAAAUGCGCAGAUAUCAGGAAGAACACCAAUGGCGAAAGCAGCUCUCUGGGACGGUACUGACGCUGAGGUGCGAAAGCGUGGGGAGCAAACAGG
rnacentral:rRNA from 1 species